rnacentral:rRNA from 1 species
CACGUAGGCGGCUUUGUAAGUCGGAUGUGAAAGCCCCGGGCUUAACCUGGGAAUUGCAUCCGAAACUGCAUCGCUAGAGUAAAGGAGAGGGAAGUGGAAUUUCCGGUGUAGCGGUGAAAUGCGUAGAUAUCGGAAGGAACACCAGUGGCGAAGGCGACUUCCUGGCCUAUUACUGACGCUGAGGUGCGAAAGCGUGGGGAGCAAACA